rnacentral:rRNA from 1 species
GAUGAACGCUGGCGGCGUGCCUAAUACAUGCAAGUCGAGCGAACGGACGAGAAGCUUGCUUCUCUGAUGUUAGCGGCGGACGGGUGAGUAACACGUGGAUAACCUACCUAUAAGACUGGGGUAACUUCGGGAAACCGGAGCUAAUACCGGAUAAUAUUUUGAACCGCAUGGUUCAAAAGUGAACGACGGUCUUGCUGUCACUUAUAGAUGGAUCCGCGCUGCAUUAGCUAGUUGGUAAGGUAACGGCUUACCAAGGCAACGAUGCAUAGCCGACCUGAGAGGGUGAUCGGCCACACUGGAACUGAGACACGGUCCAGACUCCUACGGGAGGCAGCAGUAGGGAAUCUUCCGCAAUGGGCGAAAGCCUGACGGAGCAACGCCGCGUGAGUGAUGAAGGUCUUCGGAUCGUAAAACUCUGUUAUUAGGGAAGAACAGAUGUGUAAGUAACUGUGCACAUCUUGACGGUACCUAAUCAGAAAGCCACGGCUAACUACGUG